CACCAGGUUGAUUCUGCCUGACACAGAUGCUAGUUUCUAAGAUUAAGCCAUGCAUGUUAGUGACUUUGAACGGCGAACGGCUCAGUAAUGCUGCGAUUAUCUGAUCUAUUAUUUGUAAUAACCAAGGGAAACAUUGGCUAAUAUCUAGUAGAAUGAGACGCAGCCCUAUCAGCUUGUUGGUAGUGUAAAGGACUACCAAGGCUAUAACGGGUAACGGGGGACGAGCGUCUGAUACCGGAGAGGGCGCCUGAGAGAUGGCGCCUACGUCUAUGGACGGCAGCAGGCGCGGAAAUUGCCCACUCCUAAAUUGGGGAGGCGGUUAAGAAACGAUAUGAGGAUAAAAUAGUUAUGUAAUAAGAUUGGAGGGCAAGGCUGGUGCCAGCAGCCGCGG
rnacentral:rRNA from 1 species